rnacentral:lncRNA from 11 species
GGAAAAGCAUAGGGGGGAUUUUAUUGAUGUCCUUUUCCUUAUAAAAAGUGAAAGAGAGUGACUGAUAAAGAGGAGGCUGACCGAAGAACAUUAUUCUUUUUCAAGCCAAGAAGAUCUGAAGCCAUGAUAAUGAGAUGGAUGUUCUUCCUUUUGGCUGGUUUGAUGCUACUGAGUGGCCCUUGUGUAGCCAGGUCUCGUGGAAAGAAAUUUGUCACAGCAUUUCUACUUAACAUCUGGGAAAGCCAACCCAGUGCUCAGUUUGAGUUGCUUAUCACUGGAUACCAUCCUGCAACCACUGUCACGGUGACAACAAAAAGUCCCAGCUUUGAGAAAACCAUUUCUGUCAGUACAGGACAAACAGUCUCUGUCAAACUCCCAAGCACUCUUGAGAUGCUGCAAACUGGCAUCUAUAACAAAACUGUGGUGAUCGAAGCUAACAGAGACAUCUCAGUAUCUGCUCUCAACUACAAGGACUACUCCAUUGGUACCACCGUUGUAUACCCAGUUGAGCAGCUCGGCACAGUGUAUUAUGUAGUGACACCAAGCGGUGAUCUGCCUAACACUUUUAAAGAAUUUGCAGUUGUAUCCUAUCAAACUCCCACCAGAGUUGACAUCCACCUAACGGGAGCUGUGGCAUACCAAGGACACAUUUAUCCUAAGGGCAGCACACUUGUUGCUAAUCUCCAGGCCUUCCAAGCAAUCCAGAUCCAAAGCUCAGAUGAUUUAUCCGGCACUAGAGUUGACUCCAAGGAACCUGUGGCUGUCUUCACAGGACACAGUUGUGCUCAGAAAAACACAGCCUGCGACCAUGUUGUGGAACAGCUUCUUCCUGUUUCCAGCUGGGGAACCACCUUCAUCGUCCCGCCUCUGUCUUUCCAAACUAAAACUGACAUUGUCUAUAUUGUUGCUUCUCAAAACACUUUGAUGAAGUAUCACUCUACGCUCACUGAAGGUUCUCAUAACAUGGUGGCUGGGCAAGUUAUCCAAAUGGAGAUGCAAAGUUUGCAACCGUUUUAUAUCUCUGCCAGUGCUGGACUCCAGGUUGUGCUUUUCUUCACUGGAGCAACAACUGGAAAUACAUCUUAUGAGCAGCUAAUACCCUUGCCAGCUGAUGCACCCAAGGAAAGCCGACUCUACGAUCCAUUCCUUGUCAAUAUACCAGACUUAACAAAUUAUUGUAGACUGUUUCACGUUAAUGGGAUGAGGCAGAAUGAUAACUAUGCUGUCCUCAUUGCCAAUACUUCAGAAUCCAGCCAGGUUAAACUAGCAAAAAGGGCCAUUGAAAAGAUCCACUGGAGGCCAAUUCCUGGAACAGAAUAUUCUUGGGCUGAAUAUCUCAUAGAGACAGAAACAAAUGCCCUCUCUGCAGAGCACCCCACUUCUCCUUUUGGGCUCAUCAUCCUUGGAGGAUUGUACCGCAGUGGCUAUGGCUCUGUGGCCCUUUGCUCCUGCAAAUCAGUACCAGAGUCUUCUGCCAAAAAUCCAAAAGGUAAGCUGCAACUAAGCUAUGACCAGGAAUGAAAAAAAGUUCCUAAGACUUCUUCUCCUAACC